GACGAACGCUGGCGGCGUGCUUAACACAUGCAAGUCGAACGGAAAGGCGCUGCUUUUGUGGGGUGCUCGAGUGGCGAACGGGUGAGUAACACGUGAGUAACCUGCCCUUGACUGUGGGAUAACUUCAGGAAACUGGGGCUAAUACCGGAUAGGAGCUCCUGCUGCAUGGGGGGGGUUGGAAAGUUUCGGCGGUUGGGGAUGGACUCGCGGCUUAUCAGCUUGUUGGUGGGGUAGUGGCUUACCAAGGCUUUGACGGGUAGCCGGCCUGGGAGGGUGACCGGCCACAUUGGGACUGAGGUACGGCCCAGACUCCUACGGGAGGCAGCAGUGGGGAAUAUUGCACAAUGGGCGGAAGCCUGAUGCAGCAACGCCGCGUGCGGGAUGACGGCCUUCGGGUUGUAAACCGCUUUCGCCUGUGACGAAGCGUGAGUGACGGUAAUGGGUAAAGAAGCACCGGCUAACUACGUG
rnacentral:rRNA from 1 species